GACGAACGCUGGCGGCGUGCUUAACACAUGCAAGUCGAACGGAAAGGCCCUGCUUUUGUGGGGUGCUCGAGUGGCGAACGGGUGAGUAACACGUGAGUAACCUGCCCUUGACUUUGGGAUAACUUCAGGAAACUGGGGCUAAUACCGGAUAGGAGCUCCUGCUGCAUGGUGGGGGUUGGAAAGUUUCGGCGGUUGGGGAUGGACUCGCGGCUUAUCAGCUUGUUGGUGGGGUAGUGGCUUACCAAGGCUUUGACGGGUAGCCGGCCUGAGAGGGUGACCGGCCACAUUGGGACUGAGAUACGGCCCAGACUCCUACGGGAGGCAGCAGUGGGGAAUAUUGCACAAUGGGCGGAAGCCUGAUGCAGCAACGCCGCGUGCGGAAUGACGGCCUUCGGGUUGUAAACCGCUUUCGCCUGUGACGAAGCGUGAGUGACGGUAAUGGGUAAAGAAGCACCGGCUAACUACGUG
rnacentral:rRNA from 1 species